rnacentral:rRNA from 1 species
CGGCACCACCCCUAGUGGAGCCUGCCCUUUAGUUUGACUCUGGCGCAGAAAACUCACCCGGCCCGGGCCUUCCGAGGAUUGAAACACUGAUUGACUCUUUCUCCCCCAUGGGGGUGGUGGUGCAUGGUGAUCGAAUGGUGGCUCCUCGAUUUGUCUGGUUAAUUCCGAUAACGAACGAGACUCUAGCCUACUAGUUCGCCGGCCCGGAAGAUGUGGGCCGUGUUUGUGAGCUUAUUAAAGGGACAGAUCGGCUCAAAUGCGUAGGAGAAACAGCAAAAAGAUGUCUGUGAAGCCCUUAUAUGUCUGGGGCAGCACGCCCUUUACAGUGGGUUGAUUCGCACCCUGGCAAGAUCGCUCCCAUAGGAGCGGGUGACGGGUUGAACCCCCUUCAUGAUAGGGAUUGAGCUUUACAAUAUUGAUCAUGAAAGAGGAAUUCCCGGGAGGCCUGAGGAAUUACCUAACUCCCAUUACUUGCCUGCCCUUUGCACACACCUUCCGUCUCUACUACCGAUUGAAGGC